rnacentral:rRNA from 1 species
UACAGAGGGGGCAAGCGUUGUUCGGAAUUACUGGGCGUAAAGGGCGCGUAGGCGGCCUUCUAAGUCGAACGUGAAACCCCUGGGCUCAACCCAGGAACUGCGUCCGAGACUGAAAGGCUUGAAUCCGGGAGAGGGAUGUGGAAUUCCAGGUGUAGCGGUGAAAUGCGUAGAUAUCUGGAGGAACAUCGGUGGCGAAGGCGGCAUCCUGGACCGGUAUUGACGCUGAGGCGCGAAAGCCAGGGGAGCAAACGGG